rnacentral:rRNA from 1 species
AUUGAACGCUGGCGGCAGGCUUAACACAUGCAAGUCGAGCGGGGGGAGGUAGCUUGCUACCGGACCUAGCGGCGGACGGGUGAGUAAUGCUUAGGAAUCUGCCUAUUAGUGGGGGACAACAUCUCGAAAGGGAUGCUAAUACCGCAUACGUCCUACGGGAGAAAGCAGGGGAUCUUCGGACCUUGCGCUAAUAGAUGAGCCUAAGUCGGAUUAGCUAGUUGGUGGGGUAAAGGCCUACCAAGGCGACGAUCUGUAGCGGGUCUGAGAGGAUGAUCCGCCACACUGGGACUGAGACACGGCCCAGACUCCUACGGGAGGCAGCAGUGGGGAAUAUUGGACAAUGGGGGGAACCCUGAUCCAGCCAUGCCGCGUGUGUGAAGAAGGCCUUAUGGUUGUAAAGCACUUUAAGCGAGGAGGAGGCUACUUUAGUUAAUACCUAGAGAUAGUGGACGUUACUCGCAGAAUAAGCACCGGCUAACUCUGUGCCAGCAGCAGCCGCCG